rnacentral:lncRNA from 1 species
GAGAGUUAAGUGCUAUUUUUAAGAUUUGAGGAACAGUUGAGAAGGAAUGCUUUGGGGAUCUGAAGCAGUUUCACAAUAACAUCCCACAGAAACUUCAACCUCCCAAGUUGGCGGGACAGUGCAUUUCAUUUACCACACAUUGAAUUCCUGAAAGUCACAAUGCCAUGCUACAAUGCAAUGCAGUCUCAAUGUGCUCAGAGACCAGCCUGAAAAACAGAAGACAAUUCACAGAACACAAAGUUCCCAGUUGCAGAGGAAGUCACCUAAGAUGCCAGGGACAGACCAGUAUUAAUGAUCCCAGCAAAAUAUUUGCUGUGUGAACCUCAGACCUUGUACCUGAUUCUGUUUUGGACCUGGAUAGGAAAAAACUUAACAACUGAGAAAAAGCAGCCCUGGAAAUGUAAUACCGGGUUAGAUUUGAGGAUGGUCAACUGUCGUCCUCCAGGUCUUAUAUUUCACUCUGUCUUCUGUCACUGUAAAGACUGGGGAAAAAAGACAAGUUUGAUUUCCUCAAAGUCUAACCCAAACGUGCUUGAGUGAAAACAUCACAAACACUGUCCUGGUGAGCUGAGGCCCAUAGCCAAAACUGGGGAGUUUCUUACAGGUGCAGAGGCCGAAAACCAUCAACAUUCGCACAGCCUAUCAUUUACUCAGCAGAGCUCUUUCUAUGUCCUCGAACUCUCCACCUUCUUUCCUCAGAUGCCAUGGCCGCAUCCUCCCAG